CUCCGCCCAGUUCUGUGCAUACUGCUGCAUACACAAGGAGAAGCCACCACCGGAGAGAUCUCGGCGAUGUACGGAACCACGGCUCAGCUUCCGGAGGACACGGAGAGGACAGCCUUCCGGCGUGCGGAGAAGCGCUACAAGCUCUACAAGCCUCCAAACCCUAAAUCGAGGAAGAAACAGGUUUCUAGCCUCACGGAUUUGUCGGAAGUCAUCGAUUUCAAUGUUGUUCUUGAGUCUUUCAGGCUUAAUGGAGUGACGCCUCCCGGAAUCUCUAGAUUCGAUUGCCCUGGCUUCCAUCGUCCCGUGUUCUGCUUCGAUGAUCGCCCAGGAUUUUAUUUUAUUCCUGGUGCACUAUCUAUUGAAGAGCAAAGCUAUUGGAUUAGGGAGAGUUUGCAAACCUUUCCGCAGCCUCCUAACAGAACAAACCAUACUGCAACCUAUGGUCCUAUAUAUGAAUUGUUCAGUGCUGUUGAGAAUCAGAAGGUUUUGAUACAGGUGGAAGGUUUAAGUACAGAUGUGAAACUUGGAUUGAGUUCCAGUGAAAACAGCCCACAAUCCAGUAGGUACCUCUUCUCUGAAGCCAGAAUGGUUGCAUCUAAAGGGGAAGCUUGUAAAUCAGUUGCAGCAUCAGUUCUCCUGCGGAAAUUGCGUUGGAGCACCCUUGGGUUACAGUUUGACUGGUCUAAGCGCAACUAUGAUGUGGCUCUCCCUCAUAACAAGAUUCCAGAUUUGCUUUGUCAGCUUGCUAAGAAAAUGGCUGGGCCUGCGAUGCCUGCAGAUAAUGAGUUCCAGCCAGAAGCUGCGAUUGUGAAUUAUUUUGGUCCAAGUGAUAUGCUUGGAGGUCACCUUGAUGACAUGGAAGCUGAUUGGAGUAAACCAAUAGUGAGCAUUAGCCUUGGCUGCAAGGCCAUUUUUCUCCUUGGUGGGAAGUCUAGAGAAGAUUCACCAAUAGCCAUGUUUCUACGAAGUGGCGAUAUUGUGCUUAUGUCUGGGCAAGCAAGGGAAUGUUUCCAUGGAAUACCACGAAUCUUCACAGGUGACGAAUCUGCUGAUGUUUCUGCUCUACUUUCACAAUUUUCAAGUGAAGAAAGAUCAUCUUAUCGUGGACUACAUUAGAAACUCAAGGAUAAACAUCAACAUCCGGCAGGUCAACUAGGGUAAUGCUAUUUUUACAGGAAAAGGGUUAUCAAUAAUCCAGACCACCUUGAGAUGGGGAUGUUAAGAGAUUCUGAGUAAAACUUUUCGUGUGUGCAGAGCAGAGGGCAUAACAUGGUGACAAAGCAUAAAGUUGAUAAAAGUUAGGAGGGUGAUUAAUGUCACUACUGCUCUGCUCAACAUCCCACCCACCAACACAAGAAUCAAAUUCACUUGCAGCCUUUGCUCCCCCCCACAGAUCACCUUGCUUUCAGGUAUUUAUUUUUGAUGUUGGUUGUUACUUCCUCGUUAGGAUUUAUUUAUUUAUUUAUUUAUUUAUAUUAAGAAAUUUGAUUGAUAAACUACUCUAGCAUUGAUACAUCUCAAAUCAUUGAUGAUUGGAUAUUUAAUUGAGGAGGGAAUGUCAGCAGUGCAUGUAAUAACUCCACAUCAGAUCUCAUAAUAUGUGAUUGUUUGUGAAACAUUGAAAACCAAACUUUAGAGGACUUCACAUAUGCAGUAAAAGUUUAACCAACGAUCAAGUGAUCUAUUAGUAAUUGGGUCUUUAUUAGAACUUUUUAUAAAUAGUGAGAGUUUAAAUUAUGGGUAAAAGUAUAUUUCAGAGAGUGUAAAUAGUGGUUGUGUGUAAGUGAUCGGAACGUCCAUGUGUGUGUGAGUUUUGUUUUCACUUGCUCAGCUGAAGUUUAUGCAUAUUUUUACUUUUUUAGAAACCUAGUCAUUCAUCUUGGUAAAAAAAAACAAAAAAAACUGUUUUGUACGUGUAUAUCAGGCAAUUAUUAAUUGUUUGCAUAUAUUGGUUUUUUAGGGGGUUACAAGCAUUAAUUACAAGAAUUCUGUGCAUGUUCUGUACAGUUAUUAAAUUUCGUUUUUUUAACCCCCACACUUUAACCACCCCCACACUUUAACCACGGUUCUUUUCCAACGCAAUUAAAUCCAUUUUGUAUGUAUCUUUACCAUUUGUUGAGUUAGUUUGACAUGUGUUCAUCAACCAAAAAGAACUGAAUAAGGGUAAGAUCAUCAAAUAAGUUUUG